GUGCGAAGCUGAGCAUCGAGGGUUCUUUAUUCUAUGAUAGAGGGGGAAGUAGGUGCUUUUUAUUGCUAGACGUCAUACGCCACAUCAUGGAAAGAAGGCAGCAGCUUUUGCUGCUAAAAAAGAAGCUCCUGCUUCUCAUUAUUUUUAGACGGCAAGAGCGACGACGCCGGCGCUGGUGGGUGCGACCCGUGUUCAUGCACCGAAAGGAAGAAGGGCUUUAUUACACGGCGAUGCGUCGGAUGAGAGAGGGGGACCAUGAUUUUUUUUGAGUUCUAUAGAAUGACCCCAGAAAUGUUUGACACUUUACUUUCAUUUGUGGUCAAGGACCUCAAACGCAAGUAUGUUGUGAGGGUGCUCCUUGAACCUGGUGAACGGCUUGCAAUAACCUUAAGCUACCUUGCAUCUGGCCAGGAAAUUAAGGACGUGGCACUGGCUUACAGAGUGGGCAUAGAGACGGCUAGGCUAUGCAUUCAUUUAUGCUGUCGAAGCAUUUGGGCGCGACUAAAAGAUCACUUCAUGAAGGUGCCCUCUGAGGCAGACUAGACAGAAAUUGCCCAAGGCUUUGCCUCCCAGUGGCAGUUUCCCAACUGUUUGGGAGCUGUGGAUGGCAAGCAUGUCGCCAUCACUGCAACUCCCAAUUCCGGCAGCCUAUAUUUCAACUACAAGAUGGUGUGCCGAGAAUGCCUUUGGGAUUAGAGGAGCAAGGUGGAAAAUGCUCCUACGCACAAUCAGCCUCCAUCCGACUAACGUCGAUUAUAUCAUCGAAGCAGCCUGCAUCUCAGCGUGAUCGAAAGCGAUCGCGCAAAUAAUGGACAGAAAGCCUAUCUUAAGACGAGAGAAGUUUGCUAUGAAAUCUUAGUAGGAUGUGUCUAUUGAAAGUUAAGUUCUCAGGAAUAGAGCUUUCCGCCGAGUGCCAAAAAUGGUGCAGGCGGUACUAGCUGAAUCCCACUUUCUCAAACGAUGCUUCUCGUAGAUUGUGCAGCAUACUCACCCAUAUUUCCGGAGAUGCGUAGAUUAGAUGUCGUGCAUGCAAGA